rnacentral:pre_miRNA from 1 species
UUCCACAGCUUUCUUGAACUGCAUGAUCUGUAUUAGGAGAAAAUUCUGUAUAUCGAUUGCGGUUCAAUAAAGCUGUGGGAAG